rnacentral:rRNA from 1 species
UGGCCUACCAAGGCGACGACGGGUGGCCGGCCUGAGAGGGUGAUCGGCCACAUUGGGACUGAGAUACGGCCCAGACUCCUACGGGAGGCAGCAGUGGGGAAUAUUGCACAAUGGGCGGAAGCCUGAUGCAGCGACGCCGCGUGAGGGAUGACGGCCUUCGGGUUGUAAACCUCUUUCAGCAGGGACGAAGCGUAAGUGACGGUACCUGCAGAAGAAGCACCGGCUAACUAUGUGCCAGCAGCCGCGGUAAUACGUAGGGUGCGAGCGUUGUCCGGAAUUACUGGGCGUAAAGAGCUCGUAGGCGGUUUGUCACGUCGUCUGUGAAAUCCUAGGGCUUAACCCUGGACGUGCAGGCGAUACGGGCUGACUUGAGUACUACAGGGGAGACUGGAAUUUCUGGUGUAGCGGUGGAAUGCACAGAUAUCAGGAAGAACACCGAUGGCGAAGGCAGGUCUCUGGGUAGUAACUGACGCUGAGGAGCGAAAGCAUGGGUAGCGAACAGGAUUAGAUACCCUGGUAGUCCAUGCCGUAAACGGUGGGCGCUAGGUGUGGGGUUCCUUCCACGGGCUCCGCGCCGUAGCUAACGCAUUAAGCGCCCCGCCUGGGGAGUACGGCCGCAAGGCUAAAACUCAAAGAAAUUGACGGGGGCCCGCACAAGCGGCGGAGCAUGUGGAUUAAUUCGAUGCAACGCGAAGAACCUUACCUGGGCUUGACAUAUAGAGGAUCGCUACAGA